AUUGAACGCUGGCGGCAUGCCUUACACAUGCAAGUCGAACGGUAACAGGUCUUCGGAUGCUGACGAGUGGCGAACGGGUGAGUAAUACAUCGGAACGUGCCUAGUAGUGGGGGAUAACUACUCGAAAGAGUGGCUAAUACCGCAUGAGAUCUACGGAUGAAAGCAGGGGAUCGCAAGACCUUGUGCUACUAGAGCGGCCGAUGGCAGAUUAGGUAGUUGGUGGGAUAAAAGCUUACCAAGCCGACAAUCUGUAGCUGGUCUGAGAGGACGAUCAGCCACACUGGGACUGAGACACGGCCCAGACGCCUACGGGAGGCAGCAGUGGGGAAUUUUGGACAAUGGGCGCAAGCCUGAUCCAGCAAUGCCGCGUGCAGGAUGAAGGCCUUCGGGUUGUAAACUGCUUUUGUACGGAACGAAAAGCCCUGGGUUAAUACCCUGGGGUCAUGACGGUACCGUAAGAAUAAGCACCGGCUAACUACGUGCCAGCCGCCGCAGUAAUAC
rnacentral:rRNA from 1 species